CAGCCGCCGCGGUAAUACAGAGGGUGCGAGCGUUAAUCGGAUUUACUGGGCGUAAAGCGUGCGUAGGCGGCUUCUUAAGUCGGAUGUGAAAUCCCUGAGCUUAACUUAGUAAUUGCAUUCGAUACUGGGAAGCUAGAGUAUGGGAGAGGAUGGUAGAAUUCCAGGUGUAGCGGUGAAAUGCGUAGAGAUCUGGAGGAAUACCGAUGGCGAAGGCAGCCAUCUGGCCUAAUACUGACGCUGAGGUACUAAAGCAUGGGGAGCAAACAGGAUUAGAUACCCCCGUAGUCCCUGUCUCUUAUAC
rnacentral:rRNA from 1 species